UUAGCUAUUUUUUGCUCCCACUCCCUUAUUUUCGUUCCACCCAUCCUAGUAAACCCUAAGUAUUUAUACCACUUUUUCAUUUAUUUUUCAAUUUUUUCCUCAAUUUAUCCAUUGCUCUUGUCACCCCAUCCUUCUUCCUCCUCUUUCUUUCAAAACUUUUCUUCUUUCUUUAAUGAUUUCAGCAUAGUUGUCCCGCCCCCUUUGCUAAAGUUUUUCUAUUUUCUUCCAGCCACCAUGUUGGUCAUUUAACCUCUUAAACCAUACCCUUUUCU
rnacentral:lncRNA from 1 species